UACGUAGGGUGCAAGCGUUGUCCGGAAUUAUUGGGCGUAAAGAGCUCGUAGGUGGCCUGUCGCGUCGGCUGUGAAAAUCGGCGGUCAACUCCGAGCUUGCAGUCGAUACGGGCAGGCUAGAGUUCGGCAGGGGAGACUGGAAUUCCUGGUGUAGCGGUGAAAUGCGCAGAUAUCGGGAGGAACACCGGUGGCGAAGGCGGUUCUGCUGG
rnacentral:rRNA from 1 species